AAGUAAUGAAGUAAAUUGAUUUAACAAGAAAUGAAGGUCAAGUGAAAAGUUAAAAGUUAUUGGCGGUGUUUUGUUAUAUUCUGAGAAUCUUGCUAAAUUAAAAUGAUAAUACACAAUUUAUCUUAUCUUAAUUAUUGGCUUAUGUAUUGCUGUUUAAUUUAUUAUUUGAUAAUAACAAAUAAGUUUUUUGUUAUAAAACAAAAAAUUCAAGUCAAAAUGUAGUUAUAUUAAGGUUUUAGUGAGUUGCUUUUUUCUAGUGAGUUUUGUGUUUAGAAAAUAUAAAAUUGUUUUUAAAGUGAGGAUUAGGUAGUAAAAAGGAAGUAGUUAGUCUUUUUGAUAAGUAUGGUCAUUCAAGUACAUAUCGCCCGUCGC
rnacentral:rRNA from 1 species